rnacentral:rRNA from 1 species
UUUUCCUACGGGGGCCAGCAGUAGGGAAUCUUCCACAAUGGACGAAAGUCUGAUGGAGCAACGCCGCGUGAGUGAAGAAGGGUUUCGGCUCGUAAAGCUCUGUUGGUAGUGAAGAAAGAUAGAGGGAGUAACUGGCCCUUAUUUGACGGUAAUUACUUAGAAAGUCACGGCUAACUACGUGCCAGCAGCCGCGGUAAUACGUAGGUGGCAAGCGUUGUCCGGAUUUUUUUGGCGGAAAGCG